CUCAUUUGAUUUGCCUUCCAGGGAUUAUUAUUACAUCUCUGUUUUGCUGCUGGUGUUGCAGAUAAAAAUUCCACAGGAAGUGAGCCACAGAGUGCAGGAGGAGGUUCCUGGCUGUCCAAGGGGACAACCAGCCUCAGCCCCAGCUUCCCCGAUCAGAUGAUUGAUUCGAUCAGCCUGGUCUCCCAUGCAGGACAUGCUAUGGAGAGAAGAUAUAGGAAAAAAAAAAAGAAGGGGAAAUCCUUUGGAAGUGCUGUAAUGCUGAACUAGAAUAAGUGAUAAAAGAGGGAAAAGUAUGUGGGUUGAAGUUUAAGAAGAGUAUGCAGAUGGACUGUGGAAAAGAAAAGCCUGGCAGAUGUGGCUAGUGUGCUGGCCAAAAGCAGAAAGGAGGGAGUCCAAACAGCUUCGGCAAGGUAGACCUGCCUCCUGCCCUCUAUAAAGACCUCCCUCUCCUCUCCUCUACUGUUCCAACAGCCACCAGCUGCCCCAGCAGACCAGAUGCCCAGCACCUGAUUUGGAGGCUAUGGGUGACACCUGACUGAGCAUUCAACUGUCAUCAUAGAUGAAGUGUGACUGUCUGGAACCCUCUUUCAAAUUCUGUCUUCCAGAAACUCUGGUUUAUGCCCUCUUAGACCACAGUAGGCAGAUCUUCCUUUCUCCCCCAACUGUCUAGCUUGAAGGCAAGAAUCCGUAGACCUGUGAGUGGCCUCCUACCACUGACUGGUACACCGGACCAUUCCAGGGAUCUUUGCUCUGUUUAUUUGCCAUUUGAAAAUCCUCUCUUUAUGUUGUGUUUUAAAAAACAAGCAAGGUCUCGCAACUAUCCUGUUUUUCUGUUGUUGCUAUCAUCUUGCCCUUUAAUUAAAUCUGACAGCUACACUGGCAGGUUUGAGCUGGAUGCAAACCAAGGCCAAGUGGAUUCAGCAUAGGGUUGUCCUGCCUCUUGAAAGCUGAGUCGUAAUACAAAGCCUAAUGCAGAGCAAAAAGAAAUCAAUUCUCAGCCAAACUCGUAUUUCACUGUGAAUGGUAUUUGUGAUUAGCAAGGCAGGCACAAGGUAAAAUGUUUUUGUCAUAUUCAUAGCUAUUGCUUUGUGAUCAUUGCCUAUUAGGUGAAUUUUAAUUGUGAGUUUUAGAGGUAGAUAACGAUUCACUCAAAAGCAUGACAGUUAAAACAUUUAGGGUGUUUCUUGUUGGCUCAUCCAGUGGGAAAUUUUUGAGAUCCUAUGAAAUGUGUAGCAAUGUGGCUGGCUUAUAUUUGGUUCCAGGAGAUAUAUUUAUAAAAUUGCACCACAAAUAUAUGGUUGCCUUCAGUGAUAAGUACAGGCUGUUAAGGAUGAUCUAAUAGCUGGGUCAAGACAGGGACAGAGAAGUAUUGGUGAGGAAGUGAUACUGAGCUGUGAUAUUCAGAGGAACAGGUUAGCUAGGCAAAGUGUGUGUGUGUGUGUGUGUGUGUGUGUGUGUGUGUGUGUGUGUACUACAUGUAUUGUGUAUGUGCUCAGCUGUAUGCCAGAUGUGUAGUUGCAAAGUGAAGAAUGUUGCAGACAAAGAAAUCGGACAGCAGAGACCGAGAGGAGGAAGUAUUGUAGGUGGGUCCUGCCUUAGCAGAUUCAUUCUAGUAAAGGAAAAAGUCAUGGAAAGAGAAAGCAAUAACACAGGCUACUGAGUGAUGACAGCACUCACACCUUUGAGACUCCAGAAGACCCCCUUCCUCCAGAAAUACCUCCAUCAUCCACCAUUAGUUGGAUUUCAAAUUCUACUCCUAGCCAGCAUAAUCUUUGUGUUCUUCUUGUCCUUUACAAUGUAAAAUGUAAGCCCAUGUGUUAAUUAACUCCUUUCCCAGCCAACAUUUAUUGGAUGCUUACAAUAAGCCAAGCAGUGUUCUAGUAGUAAAGUCCCCAGUAAUCAAGGAGAUGGCAACAUUAUCUCUCUUCCUGGAGCUAGUGAUUCUUUUACAGGAAUGCCAUUGAUUUUUUUUACUUUGUUUCCUACUACACCUGGAGAACAGAAUCUUAAGCAAAAUAAAUUGGACACAUAAGUUUAAAUAUCACAUUGUUUCUCUUGAGAGAGAAACUCAAAGGAUAAGCAAGAAGCAUUAGGGAGCAUAGAUAUUCACAAGUGGAAAGAAUGUGCUCAAAUGGGAAGGCAAACAGGGAGAGGAGAAGGGAAAGAACGAAUAGAAAACUAGAAGGAAAAAGUGAAAACAAAGCUUUUCUAAAUGAGGAAGGGAAGAAGGGUUGAAGGGAGGGGAAGGGAAUGGAAAAGUAAAGAAGAAUCAAAUUCCCAGUGAUGAAUAUGACAAGCACAUAUGACAAGCACGUACCAAUAACAUUAUAAAGGUCUAAAUAAAAAAUUUUUUAAUUUAAAAUAAAAUAAAAAUACCCUCCCCAAAAACCAAAACAAUUAUCUUUUUUUCUAUUUUGUCAAUACAUCUAACAGUAUAUCGUUCAACUAUAACUUUACUUUCUCGUGUGUGGCUUUGUGAGUUAGACUUUCCUGUCUAGUGGAAACAGUGUAGAGCAUGUUGAGUUUCACCUAUUAAUUAACAGGAAAAUGACAAAGUAGCAACCAUGAAAUAUACCUUGUCAUUAUGUGAGACAUAAAGACAGCAGACUAUCUCUAUAUUUACAGGUUACUGUACCUUAUCUAAAUUAUCUCUGGAGGCAUAUCUUGUGGUCUGUAUUCUCCAGGUAAAACUGUAUCAAAUCCUGUCUGGACCCCAGGUGAAGGAAUGCUUCUAUGAAACUAUGUAAAUGGCUUUCAAGGAAGAUUGCUCUGAGACCAAACGAUACAUUUUACCACUUAAUUUUUCCUACUAAUUGGAAGAAAAAGGUGAUAGCAGUGUUCUUUGGAUUUUAAAGACACAAAAACUCUUGUAUUUGGCCAGAAUCCAUAGUUAAUUAAAGAAGAAAGCUGGUGUUUCCUGAAGCAUAGGACCACUAAAAUAACCACAGUCACAAUGAUUAAGUCCAGAGGUAUGAUAGGGAGAUUAACUCAGCAGCUCAGGUAUUCUCACUCAAAGAUUUUCAAAUGACUGUCAAAUGUGUGUGUGUGUGUAAUAUACAGUGUACAAGUAAUAUACAAUAUAUUAUGUAAUCACUUUGUGAAUAUCAUAGGGACCUUCAUUCACAAGUUUAAUUGAUUGUCAAGUGUGUGUUUAAUAUCCUAUGUAAUGUAAUACACGAUAUGUAAUAUAAUACUUACUUUAUCAUAUCAUAUAUAGCACAGAGGUCAUUUAUUUUCUACUUCAUGAAAGAGGACAUACAAAUGAAGUAAGUUCUAAUUCACCUUAGAAUAUUAUGUUUGUAAAGACUUCUCCAAGACAAUUCAAAUUUUUUUUAUUUUAAAAACAAAAACAAAAAAGGAUAGAAAUGAUACAGAUUUUUUAAAAAGUAGGAAAUUAACACUAAUGUAUUGCAUAUUAUUCUAAGAAAAUUUUAACUCUCAAAAUUUUGUCCCAACCCCCAUAGACUCUUUCACCCUCAGAUAAAUAUUGAUUCUAACAGUGACCUGAGCCUUGAAGGUGGUUGUCUCCCAUGAGUACAGGUGAAACAGAUAUUACAUCAUUUACAUGUAUACAUACACAAUCCCACAAUGUGGGAUUUUCCUGUUCUUGUCUCAUUGCAUUAUGGAUGUAACAGUUAUCUCUAGCACCCACAUUUCCUGGAGCAAAACCAGGUAGUUUUACAGAUGUCACAAUGAACAGGUCCUUAUGACUCUAAACUGAAUUUAGAAAAUGGAAACUAUAGUCCAGCAGGGCACACUCAGAAAGUGUGUUGGUUGAGGUAGUUACAAAUGUAACACCAUUGCUUGUAAUAACAAAAGUAAUAUGACACUCCUGGGGGCUAUGUCUAGAAAAUGUUACUUUGUAUACCCCAGAGAGGUGAUAUAAAUAUAAUCAUAUCCAAGACAAUAAAACACAAUUUUUAUCUGGAUCCCCCUUAUUUAUUAACUCCCUGACUAUUACGAAUUUUUUUUUUCUGUAUGGACUUACUAAUUGUCUAGUAUGAUUCAUUUGGAAACACUGCUUUCUAUUUUUAAGCCUAUAAAAUAGUUUUAUUCUC